rnacentral:sRNA from 1 species
GUGUGCCUUAUCAUAGUGGUGGUUCCAGCAAAGGUGUGUGUGUAUCUCCAUAGAACAAAGGACACCAGCCUAUUGAGUGUUGAGUGAAAAACAGACUGUAAUAAAUUGAUAUCAUUUAGUUGCAAUUAUGGCAACAGUUGGUUUUUUGUAAGAAUAUGGAUAAUGUGUGAAGUUGAAAUUUUAUAAUCAACUUGUAAAAAACUUGUAGAGGAGUUAGUAGUCUCAUGUUUAAGAUUUUUUUUUUAUGUUAUAUAGUUUUGAAUUGUUUUGUGGUGUUUUUACUUCAGAAGUAUCGACUAACUACAUGUAAUAUUUGGAUAUAGAUAUACAUUCUUUUACAUUUAGUUCAGUCAUGUGUGGGUGUUUAUACUCAGUGAUAGACACAAUCAAACAGUUUGUCUUUCUUUACAUGGCAAGCUAAUUUUUUUUAGACAAAUCAAAAGAAAAUGCUUAAAUAAUUAAUGAGAUGAUACGAUGAUAUAAUGAUACAUGUACUAACAUAUUGAUACAAUAAGCCGAUUCCCUCCGUUAACUGUAGUUAACAAAAUACCGGUACCACGACCUCUGUAAAAUAUCAUGGUCAAAGAGAUUGUAGGAAACUAAAGCAAGUCCUUAGGUUCUUGAAAUUCUAAAUUGUAAUCAUUCUUAAAAUACUCAUACCAUUUACUUAUAUUUGAAAUGAUUUAUGGUCAACAACAUGUUAGGGAAACAGUAAGUAUUUACAAGUGCAUUUUCUAGAAUCAAGUGACUGUUGCAAAAGACAGUGUAUAAAUUUCGACAUGAGAAUGAUGAGAUGAAGAAAGUUUGAUGAUUUUAAUUUGUAAAGGUUUCUUGAUAUGCCAUCAAACUAAAUCAUGCAUUGUAUAGAUUCUGACUAUAUUAGUGUCAUUUAUCUUACAUAAGUUUGAAAAUUUGAGUACCGGUUAGAACUAAAACUAUUUUUGCUCUAAUAAAGAAUGGUGUUUUAUAUAUUACUAUGUAGCUGUAAAUAAGUAUUAAUUGUUAAAUCUGAUAAGUGCCUAUCAUGUCCACGAUCUUAUCUAUUGUUGUUCAUAUACCUUACUCAAGAUUUUAGCAUCUGUUGAUCAGAACUUUUUCUCUAUAUUUUUAAGAAAUAUAAUUAUAAGAGGACUAUUUUUGGGACAGUGAAUAAUUCCAUGUCUUAUAGUUUGUUGUUUGUUUUCCUGUAAAUCUACAAAUGUAUCAAAUAUCCAAUUUAAUUCAUAAAUACUCAGAAGUGUCUUACAUACAUCUAUACAUAGUUUUUAUAUAGACAAGAACGUUAAUUAUUUUUGGAAUCUCAAGGACAGGAAUGUAUUUGUAUGUAUGGAUUUUCCCAUGCAACAAACACUCCAGGAUGUUAGAGAGUUAAACAAGAUACCUUCACUCCAAUGUACAUACAAUCAACAUGUACCAAAGCCCUAACUUUUAUAGAUCUUGCAACAACUUUUGUUCCUCUAUUGAAAGCCUGCAGUUUUAAUGUUUAGGCAAUAUAAAUAUACCGGUAGUAUAUGUACUUGUGCGGGAUAUUUUUUUGUAUAUAUUUUUUUGUAUAAAAGCACUUAAAACCCAAUGUAUGGUUUCUCUUGGUAUUUGUUUUUUUAUUCACUCUAUACCUUAAGAUUUUGACAAUUUUCAGAAUGAGAUCUAUAUAAUUAUCAUUUACAUGUAUUUAUCUUCUUUUAAUUAAAAAAAAAUACUAAUUUGCUGAAAGUGUUUAUUACCGGUAUUCAUAGGUACCGUAUAUCAACUUAUUAAGACACAUGCUUACAAUUAUUUGAUGAAUUAUAAGAAUCUAUGGUUCACUAGCUAUUUUUGCUUUUAUUAUGAUAUCAAUAACUUAUGGUAGUUACUAGUAGUUCAAAUAUGAGGACCAAUAUCCAUUCAUAUAGGGCAAACCUUUUGUACAAUAUCUCCACUUUUUAGCGCUUUAGAUAACUUAUGGAAAUUCUGCUUUAGACCUCCUUACUGUCGGAGUGUGAGAUUUAUACAAGCAUGAAAAACUGUGAUAACAUGUAUUCCAGCGAAUUUAUUAAUAAAAGGUGUGCAAGGCA